AACGCACAUAUUUGUAUGUCGCUCUGGAUAAAAGUGUCUGCUAAAUGACUUAAA
rfam:Salmo salar isolate Sally breed double haploid chromosome ssa10, whole genome shotgun sequence.